CUGCCGUGUUAGAAGUACCUUUCACUUCCUGCCAUGAUUCUGAGGCCUCACCAGACAUGUGGAACUUCCCCUUAGGUCUGUGCGGGUUACAUAAUGGCACCCGAACAGGGAUGGAAUCGGGUGCUCAAUAAGUGGCGCCUGAACAUGGGACUUCAAGGAUGUGAACGAAGAAGGUCUGCUGAAGCAGAGGAACUGAAAUUGGCAAGGCAAACGGGGACCCCGGGACAAGUCUGCCGGCAGUGGAUAUAAGACACUGUGUGAAGAAUCCUAGCUGGCCUAAAGGAAGGUGAGAGAUGAAUCAUACCACCUGAGACUUUACUGGACCAUCCAGUCCCCAGCUGACCUGGCAGGUGAUCUGGCAACUGACCAUAGAUGCAUGAAUGGGCUCAGCUGAGGACGACAUCUGGCCCAGAUUAGCAGAACCAUCUUGAUGACACACAGACUCAUGAAAUCAAUAAAAUAUUGUUAUUUGAAGUCAUUAGGAUUUGAUUAAUUUUUUAUGACAAUAGCUAAAAAGCCAUUGUUUACAUAAAGGCAUUAAAAUUAGAUUAUGGGUUACUUAAAUAAUAUUUCAAAGCUUUUGGAUAAUAAGUAAAAUUUUAUCCCACAGCAAAAUAUCAUUUCAUCGGAAGGCAUAAUUUUGGCCUGGUAAAAAUAUUUUUCAACAAUUUUUCAUAAAUGAU